rnacentral:rRNA from 1 species
GACGAACGCUGGCGGCGUGCUUAACACAUGCAAGUCGAACGGAAAGGCCCUGCUUUUGUGGGGUGCUCGAGUGGCGAACGGGUGAGUAACACGUGAGUAACCUACCCUUGACUUUGGGAUAACUUCAGGAAACUGGGGCUAAUACCGGAUAGGAGCUCCUGCUGCAUGGUGGGGGUUGGAAAGUUUCGGCGGUUGGGGAUGGACUCGCGGCUUAUCAGCUUGUUGGUGGGGUAGUGGCUUACCAAGGCUUUGACGGGUAGCCGGCCUGAGAGGGUGACCGGCCACAUUGGGACUGAGAUACGGCCCAGACUCCUACGGGAGGCAGCAGUGGGGAAUAUUGCACAAUGGGCGGAAGCCUGAUGCAGCAACGCCGCGUGCGGGAUGACGGCCUUCGGGUUGUAAACCGCUUUCGCCUGUGACGAAGCGUGAGUGACGGUAAUGGGUAAAGAAGCACCGGCUAACUACGUGCCAGCAGCCGCGGUGAUACGUAGGGUGCGAGCGUUGUCCGGAUUUAUUGGGCGUAAAGGGCUCGUAGGUGGUUGAUCGCGUCGGAAGUGUAAUCUUGGGGCUUAACCCUGAGCGUGCUUACGAUACGGGUUGACUUGAGGAAGGUAGGGGAGAAUGGAAUUCCUGGUGGAGCGGUGGAAUGCGCAGAUAUCAGGAGGAACACCAGUGGCGAAGGCGGUUCUCUGGGCCUUUCCUGACGCUGAGGAGCGAAAGCGUGGGGAGCGAACAGGCUUAGAUACCCUGGUAGUCCACGCUGUAAACGGUGGGUGCUAGGUGUGGGGUCCAUUCCACGGGUCCCGUGCCGUAGCUAACGCUUUAAGUACCCCGCCUGGGGAGUACGGCCGCAAGGCUAAAACUCAAAGGAAUUGACGGGGCCCCGCACAAGCGGCGGAGCAUGCGGAUUAAUUCGAUGCAACGCGUAGAACCUUACCUGGGUUUGACAUGGAUCGGGAGUGCUCAGAGAUGGGUGUGCCUCUUUUGGGGUCGGUUCACAGGUGGUGCAUGGCUGUCGUCAGCUCGUGUCGUGAGAUGUUGGGUUAAGUCCCGCAACGAGCGCAACCCUUGUUCACUGUUGCCAGCACGUUAUGGUGGGGACUCAGUGGAGACCGCCGGGGUCAACUCGGAGGAAGGUGGGGAUGACGUCAAGUCAUCAUGCCCCUUAUGUCCAGGGCUUCACGCAUGCUACAAUGGCUGGUACAGAGAGUGGCGAGCCUGUGAGGGUGAGCGAAUCUCGGAAAGCCGGUCUCAGUUCGGAUUGGGGUCUGCAACUCGACCUCAUGAAGUCGGAGUCGCUAGUAAUCGCAGAUCAGCAACGCUGCGGUGAAUACGUUCCCGGG